UACGAAGGGGGCUAGCGUUGCUCGGAAUCACUGGGCGUAAAGCGCACGUAGGCGGACUCUUAAGUCGGUGGUGAAAUCCUGGAGCUCAACUCCAGAACUGCCUUCGAUACUGGGAGUCUUGAGUCCGGGAGAGGUGAGUGGAACUGCGAGUGUAGAGGUGAAAUUCGUAGAUAUUCGCAAGGACACCAGUGGCGAAGGCGGCUCACUGGCCCGGUACUGACGCUGAGGUGCGAAAGCGUGGGGAGCAAACAGG
rnacentral:rRNA from 1 species